GCCAGACUCCUACGGGAGGCAGCAGUGAGGAAUAUUGGUCAAUGGCCGAGAGGCUGAACCAGCCAAGUCGCGUGAGGGAAGACGGCCCUACGGGUUGUAAACCUCUUUUGUCGGGGAGCAAAGCGAGUCACGUGUGACUCAUUGAGAGUACCCGAAGAAAAAGCAUCGGCUAACUCCGUGCCAGCAGCCGCGGUAAUACGGAGGAUGCGAGCGUUAUCCGGAUUUAUUGGGUUUAAAGGGUGCGCAGGCGGAGGUGCAAGUCAGCGGUCAAAUUGCGGGGCUCAACCCCGUACUGCCGUUGAAACUGCAUUCCUUGAGUGCGCGAGAAGUAUGCGGAAUGCGUGGUGUAGCGGUGAAAUGCAUAGAUAUCACGCAGAACUCCGAUUGCGAAGGCAGCAUACCGGCGCGCAACUGACGCUCAUGCACGAAAGCGUGGGUAUCGAACAGGAUUAGAUACCCUGGUA
rnacentral:rRNA from 1 species